rnacentral:rRNA from 1 species
ACGAGUGCCCCAAGCGUUAUCCGGAAUUAUUGGGCGUAAAGGGUGUGUAGGUGGUUUCGUUAGUCUUCUGUCAAAUUCUUCGGCUUGACCGGGGGCAUGCAGGGGAAACGGCGGAACUAGAGGAUGCGAGAGGUAAAUGGAACUCAUGGAGUAGGGGUGAAAUCCGUUGAUAUCAUGGGGAACACCAAAAGCGAAGGCAAUUUACUGGCGCACUCCUGACACUGAGACACGAAAGCGUAGGUAGCGAAUGGGA